GUCCAGACUCCUACGGGAGGCAGCAGUGAGGAAUAUUGGUCAAUGGCCGAAGGGCUGAACCAGCCAAGCCGCGUGAAGGAAUAAGGCCCUACGGGUCGUAAACUUCUUUAGUCAGGGAACAAAGGGUGCCACGUGUGGCGCCGUGAGUGUACCUGAAGAAUAAGCAUCGGCUAACUCCGUGCCAGCAGCCGCGGUAAUACGGAGGAUGCGAGCGUUAUCCGGAUUUAUUGGGUUUAAAGGGUGCGUAGGCGGUUUGUCAAGUCAGCGGUAAAAAUUCGGGGCUCAACCCCGUCCGGCCGUUGAAACUGGGGGCCUUGAGUGGGCGAGAAGAAGGCGGAAUGCGUGGUGUAGCGGUGAAAUGCAUAGAUAUCACGCAGAACCCCGAUUGCGAAGGCAGCCUUCCGGCGCCCUACUGACGCUGAGGCACGAAGGCGUGGGUAUCGAACAGGAUUAGAUACCCCGGUAC
rnacentral:rRNA from 1 species